rnacentral:rRNA from 1 species
UGGGGAAUAUUGGACAAUGGGCGCAAGCCUGAUCCAGCCAUGCCGCGUGAGUGAAGAAGGCCUUCGGGUUGUAAAGCUCUUUUGUCCGGAAAGAAAAGUUCGCGGUUAAUACCCGCGGAUGAUGACGGUACCUGCAGAAGAAGCACCGGCUAACUACGUGCCAGCAGCCGCGGUAAUACGUAGGGUGCGAGCGUUGUCCGGAAUUAUUGGGCGUAAAGGGCUCGUAGGCGGUUUGUCGCGUCUGCCGUGAAAGUCCGGGGCUUAACUCCGGAUCUGCGGCGUAGCGCGGCAGCUAGAGUGAUGUAGGGGAGACUGGAAUUCCUGGUGUAGCGGUGAAAUGCGCAGAUAUCAGGAGGAACACCGAUGGCGAAGGCAGGUCUCUGGGCAUUAACUGACGCUGAGGAGCGAAAGCAUGGGGAGCGAACAGGAUUAGAUACCC